rnacentral:lncRNA from 1 species
UCAGGGAAGAAUCUUCCCACACUAGACUCUCUCCAGGUGAUAUCAUCCGCUCCAUUGUUUCAGGGAUCAUCUGUGUGCUGAGAUAUCUGCAGUCUACAUCUCCAGACCAAAUCUGUCUUCAGUGUUCCAGACUCAAAUACCCAAAGACACAUCAAAUUUGACAUGUUCUCAGCUGCACCAAUCAGCAAGCCUGAAAGAACAAAGAGAAGAAAGGAAAGCAAGAAGGAAAGAAAGAACUCGCUUUUUCAUCCCCCACCUUGUGAAAUGACUCAGUGGCCCAUGUAGCUGCUCUGCCAGACCCUUGGGAGCCAUUGGCGCUCGUCCCUCCCUCAUCCUCUGCCAGGUCAACCAACUUGUCCCCAUGGACUGGAUCUCAGAGUGGCUCUGUGAGCUUGGUGCUGAAAGGGGGACAUGUGAUGACAAGAAAGAAAAAGAAUGGAAGUUUGGAGCUCACAUCGGAAUUGUGAAUCAGUGGAUGGAUGUGAAUGGACUGAGAAUUAGGAAGUCAGAGAAGGGCAUUAAGGAGUGAUAUAAAGUGUCAUCGCAACAAGCAAAGACAGCUGCGGAAGACAGGAGGGACUAGGUUCUACUUUCAAAAAUGCGUGUCACAGUGGAGCUUCAGUGAAAGGAGUCCUUCUGUCACUCGUCACUAGCUCGCUCGCUCACUGUGGGAGGAGCCCGCCUGAGGAAGCCGUGUGCCUGGGAUGCCAAGAGCGAGAGAAUGGAUCUGCUCCGAGUGGGGACAUUGCUGACAAUCCCGGCUUCCCGAGGCGGCUAAGAACAGGCACUUUGUGUCUGCUGGCUGUAGAUACCCAGAGGCACAGAGACCGAAGCCACCCGGAGGGACCCACGGACGGACAGAUGGUAGGCGCGAACCCGAGAGGACCGGCGGAGGCUGAGCACCGAGAGCCGCCAAGGAAGAGAAACUAA